rnacentral:lncRNA from 1 species
ACCGGAAAAACCAAUCCGGCGAGCCCAAGGUAGGAGACGCGCGUGGACCAGUGCCUGUCCAGGCGCGUGGGGGCGCGUGACAAGCCCAAAUUUUUUUCUAAAAAUAUGUCGACGUUCGUGAUGUCGAGUAGGUCACUGUGGUAUAUUCAUAUACCCAAAUUGAAUACCGUAUGAGAAGUUAUUUCGAAUUGUCGGUUAUGUGCUUUAAUUAAUGUUUUUAUAGUUGUUUCGCAUAUAGGUGACACCUAUCCCGAGGACGAGCGCAUCCAGGGACGUCAUGGGGGUUACGACCUAUCGACUUACCAGUGAGUGGGCAGUUGUUUUCUAUUUAUACCUAUAUACUAUUGAUUUUUCCCAGAAAUCGAAUUUAUAUGAAAGUAUGUUUUAAAAUGCCAUGCAUGCAUAUUGUGAAUUAUAUGAAUUGAUAUUUGAUGCAUAUAUAUAUGUGAAUUGGUGUUGUGGACGCACAAGUGAAUAUCAGGUGAGUUUUAUAUUAUUCAUGUGAAUUAUUGAUGAUGUGAAUUGUGUUGAGAGCUCAUAACCUGCACCCCUGGUGUUAGUGCUUAUAGUAUUCACCGCACCGCACGCUCACCUUGGAAUCAAGUAGGUGCAUGUCGUACAGACCAUGAGAGGGUUCCGACAUGCUAGUCGUACAGAUCACUAGAGGUGGUUCUGACUGGUAGGUGACCUUAGAUUAUGUGCGCAGAUGAUUGAUGAGAGAAGCACUAGAGCGUAUUAUUUCACCAUUCUUGUCGUACAGACUACUUCAGGUAGUUCCGACUUAUGUGCAGAGUAGUGCCGUACAGGUCACCGUGGUGACUCCGGCUGGAUUGGAUAUUGAGAUAUAGAAUUAACCGUACAGGACCAACUGCAGGGUCUCCGGUUUAUUCAUUAUGUCACCUGUUACAUUGAUGCAUCCAUAUUCUGUCAUUGACAUUAUUGCAUGGCAUACUUGCUAGACUUUGGUAAAGAUUAAUGUUUUGAGAGAUUUGAACAAAUAUUAUGCUACUAUGUUAUUUUCUGGGAAAGUAUACAUGUUUUACAGUGAGGGGUUAGAAAUGUUUUAAAUGAAAUG